rnacentral:lncRNA from 1 species
GCGCAAGGAUCUAGUCCGGACACCAGAGGGUAGCACCGGAACGGAUGAUCGCGUCAGCUUUUACUGAGAAGAAAAAAGCAGGGAACUGACUCAGUGCAAGAGGACAUCAUCGACUCCCUGUGAUUUCAUCUCCUACCCAACCAAUCAGCACUCCUGACUCACUGGCUUCUCACCCACCAAAUUAUCCUUAAAAACUCUGAUCCCCAAAUGUUCAAGGAGACUGAUUUACAUAAUAAAACUCGGGUCUCCUGUGCUGCCAGCUCUGCAUGAAUUACUUUGUCUAUUGCAAUUUGCCUGUCUUGAUAAAUCGACUCUGUCUAGGCAGUGAGCAAGAUGAAACUCUUGGACAGUUACAAAAGCGUCAUGCCUUAGUGAGAUACAAUAGCCCUAGACUGCAGGACCCAGAGUAUAAGCUACUGUAGACUCUUCAAAAGCCUUAGAACAAGCCCUGAAAGGAUCAAACUGCUCUGUAAGUAACCUAAUUGCCUGUAAGAACGAAGUCUAAUACUCUCUGAAAGACUAAAAUCCAGGAUUCGACAACAUUAAGUUCAAAAUGUGAGACAUCCAGUCAAAAAUUAAGAGACACGCAGCACUUGGGGAGGCUGAGGUGGGAGGAUUGCUUGAGCCCAGGAGUUCAAGGCUGCAGUGACCUAUGAUUGCACCACCGCAACCCAGCCUGGGUGACAGGGUGAGACUCUGUCUCAAAAGAGAGAGAGAUAGAGAGGAAGAGAGAGAGAGACUGACCAAGUGGUAAGAAAAUGUGAAGUUAAUAGAAACAAACUCCAGAAUGAUAAAAAUGAUGAAAUUAACAGACAAGGUUUUUAAACAACUGUUAUGAAUAUGCUCAAAGAUUUAAAGGAAGACAUAAUAGGAGAGAAACUGGAAAGAUUUUUGAAAAGAAACAAAUCAAAUUUCUAGAUGGAGGUGAAAAAUAUUUGAAAUAAAAAUUUAUUUGGAUGGGAUUGGUAGCACAUUAGGCAAUGCAGAAAAAAGAUUAAUGAAUUUAAAGACAUAGCAACAGAAACGAUACAAAAUGGCGCACACAGAGAAAAAAAAAAAACUGAACAUAGCUUCAGUUACCUAUAGGCCACUUAAAGAGGCUUGAUACUAUUGACCUAAAAGGUAGAAGCUGAGGCAAAAUUAAUAUAAGCAGUGUUUAUUUGGUCCAGGCUUGAGGAUUGCAACCCGGGAGCAUAGAUUAAAGUCGCCCUGAAUCCAUCUACUCAGAAGAUACGCCAAUUUGGAAGUUAAGUGAACACUUAGUAACGAAUCAUAUUUGUCUCAAAUCUUGCCCAUUCUAGAUUAUUUGCUUUGUUAAAUAGGCAAUUGAGAUAGGGUAUAAUGCCAAUAACAAUAAUCUUUGAUGGGGAUAAGUAGUCCUUUCUAACCGUACAUACCUCCAUCUCAGCUUCUAUCUCAAGAAACAAUUCUUUUGACUUUGUUUCUUUGAUUUCUAGAACUAGUGCAGCAGCAUCAAGAAAUUUGAACUGUCAUAAAGAAAAAGACCAAGAAGAAGAGAAUCUAAUAAAUAGUGAGGCUUUUGUCCAUGAAGCCUAUGAUGAGCAACUGUGCUGGGGAAACUCCAAGAAGUUUCUCUGAGGAAAUUGGAUUGUAAGACACAAUUAAAGAAUGUCCCUUCUGAAAAAUCCUGGCUAGGUGAAAAUAGUCAAAGUCAGUCAAAAAAUAGUCAAAAAAAAAAAAUCCAAGCCAGAUGAAAAUAGCUACGUGAAAAUUACUACCGUGCAGUAACUUAUUUUGUCUUUAAACUCUGGUUUGAGCAAUUAAAGAUUGAACAAGGUGAAACAUGCAUGAAAUAAUCAACCUAAAAGGAAGAAGCUGAGGCAAAAUUAAUAUAAGUAGAGAGUUUAUUUGGGCCAAACUUGAGGAUUGCAAUUGUAGAUUCAAGUUGCCCUGGGUAUACUCAGAUUAGUAGUAGCUGCAAGUGAAUUUUUAAAGGAAAGAAGAGGCAGUUCCUGGGUUGUUUAUCAAUAAUUUACUGUAAGGCCAGGCGUGGUGGCUCACACCUGUAAUCCCAGCAAAAAUGCCUUUUGUUUCUAAGCUGUCUCCCAUUGCUGCCUGAUGCCACAUGUUAGAUAAUUCAAUAUGUUUAGGUCUGUAUUUGAGCAUCCUGCUCUGUUCUGUUGGUCUCUGGUAUUUGUUCUUAUACCCUUCCCACACUGCUUUCUAUUACUCAGCUCUGCAAUAUGUCUUCAUAUCUUUAAAACAUGUUCCUCCUCUUACUCCUCUUUUUCGAUACUGACUUAGCUAUUUCUGGAUAUUUAAUCUUUCAUGUAUACUUUAGGACAAAUUUGUUGCUCUUCAAAAAAUCCAAUCCAAUCCAAAAAAAAAAAAAAAAAA